UCUAUAUAAAAUAGAUUUUAAUAAUAAAUCAUGAGCUUUAUUUUUUUUAGUUGUUUUUUCAAUUAAAAAUUGUGAAAACUUGGUAAGAGUUUUUCUGAAAUUAGCUCUUUGUUCAAAAAUAUGGGUAAAUUUAAGGUGUAAACCUUACGACUCACAGUUCGAGAAUCUCCUUUAAUCUCCACUUCUCUCAACCCAAAGUGUAAACUUAGCUGUAGUGCUUGAAGGCACGCCACUACUUCUGCUGCAAAGGCGGUCGAUAUGUUCGAGUUCAUGAUUGAUUUUGAGCAAAUAACCUCAGCGUUAGCAUUUCAAAUAACUAAACUAGAACAUGAUUCCUUUUUGUGUUUGUUAAAGUCGGCGUCGAAAUUAAUUUUCAACCUUAUUCCUACCGGAGCGACCCAUCUGGCCGAAUAGAACCGCUAUACAGUGUCAUGGGUUGCGAAUGGAAACUUGCAACCAUAAUGGACUUUUGCGAUUUAUCGCUUUUGAAGGAGGUUAUUUGGCCCAAUCAGACUGGUCCAGUGCUUGGAGAGAUUGAAACCCAUCUCCGGAGCUUUGGCAAAUAUGGAAAGUAAUCUUCAAAGAUAUGCUUGGCAAAUAUGGAAGGGGAUCUUCAAAGAUAUGCGAUCCUAGACUUUAAUGUAACCUUUAGAAGAUACGAUUCUGUAAUCUUAGAGAUUUGAUAUCUUGAUAGCUUUAGAUCUUAGCCAUUGAUGUAUUUUGAUCUGUACCGUUGAUAUUGGAAAGGCUCGACUUUAAAUAGAGGCCUCUCCCCCUUAUUGUAUUCAUUCAAUGAUUAAUAGAAUUUUUAGAGCAUUCACUCAAA